UUCUCCACUUUAUCAAUUGACUUUAAACAUAAAAUAUCACUCAAAAUUGAAGAAAUCCUCCAUGGGAAUCCCUGCCCCUUCAUAUCGCGUCACUGUCAAUCCUUAUCUUUUUCCAAUCACCAUUCCUUCACCAUAAAAAAAAAUUUGAAAUCCAAUUAAUUCAUUUAUUCCAAAGGCUAAGAAAAACAGGGAAAAUCUAGAAUAAUUAUGAGAUGAUAAAUACUUAUACAUUGCAAAUUAAGAUAUACAAAUUAUAUAUCGAUUAUUCAUCAGAUGAUGUAGGUGGUAGGGACAAACAAGAUAUAAGAAGAAGAUGAAGGAGGAAAAGGAGUAGAAGAAAAGAAGGAGGAGAAGUAGCAAAGUAGAAGGAUAAAGAGAAGCAAAAGUAUAAGGAAAAGAAGCUGGAGGAGGAGAAGGAUAAGAAGGGGGAGGAGAAUGAGAAGGAGAAAGAAAAGGGAAAAGGGAAAGAGAAGGAGAAAGAGAAGAAGUAGAAGUUGUAUUCUAAUGGUGGUGUUGGAUUAAGUGAGAUAUUGCAAAGUUUGUGUAUAAGUACUUGUGUCAGGGCACUUGAGUUUAGGUCAUUUGACUCAAAGGCUAUCCAUUCCAGAGUGAAGGUGGGAGUGGAUAGAUAUGGAUUUCAUGGUAGGAUUUUCAUAAAAAUUUUCUACAUUUGAUGUUAUUUGGGACAUCAUUGAUAGGUUGAUCAGGUCUUCUCACUUUCUACCAGUUUAGAUUUUAUACUCUUCUAAGAGGUUUGCAUUUAUGAGAUUGUAUAAAUCUACAAGGGGUGUCAAUGUCUAUAUUUCAGAUCAUGGCAAUUAAUUCGCAUCAUAUAUGUUUCGAGGUUGACUCAGAGAGAAUCGGUAUCUAUGUUGAUUUUAGCACAACAUUUGAUCUGCAGACUACAGGCAGUCAGUCCAAAAAAAGGACUAUUUAGGUUAAGGAAAAAUAUGGUUUGGGCUUGUGUAAUUUAUUUUUCGAGGUAUGUGGGACUAGUUUUUGCUUUGGUAGAUUUUGCACAUAAUAAUACCUAAUGUUUGAGUAUUAAAAUGGCUCUAUUUGAGGCAUUAUACAAUAGGAGUUCAGUCUUUGAUGUGCUAGUUUAAUGCUUUUGAAUUAGGCCCUUGGAUCACUAACUUAUGGAUAAAGUUUGGGUGAUUCAGGAGAGGCUCGUACUGCUUAGAGUAGGCAUAAGAGUUAUGUCGAUUAGAGAGUGAGCGCCUUAGAGUUCAGGUAAGAGAUCAGUGUUUAUGUUGGUGUCAAUCAUGAAAGGAAUGAUGAGAUUUGAUUGAAAGGGCGAACUCGACCCUAGGUUCAUCAAACCUUUUUAUAUUUUUGUAGUUUGUUAUGAAGGUGGCUUAUUAAGAGUUAGACUUACCUCCAGCCUUUUGGGUUAUUGACCUUAUCUUUUAUGUAUUUGUGUUGGACAAUAUGUUUAAAUAAGUCUCACGUGCUUAAGUGGAAUUUUAUUCGGUAUGAUGAGUCCUUGAUUUUCGAGGAGGGCCUGUGGUUAUUCAAGACAAGCAGUCUAAGAGGUUAAGGUCUAAGGACAUUCUGUAAUUUGAGGUUUAGUGGAGGCAUCAUCCCACGAGAGGCUACUUGAUAAGCCAAUCUUGAUAUACAGAUCAAAUAUCCUUGUCUUUUUAACCUUGGGAUGCUCCUGCGGAGCUUGGCUUUCUUUGGUAACUCUGCUCCUACAGAGAGCCGCCACACCAGCAAAGGCUACUGAUCUAAUACUGCUCCCACUUAGUUGAGCUUGAUGAUUACUCCUAAAAUAUUUACUCACCGUUGAAGGUUCAUGAUCGAUCCGACGGAGCUAGAGUAAAUUUGUCCCCUCCGUUCUUGCAAUAUCACCACCACCAACAAAAUUCCGCAAGAACGAUGAUUGUGAGUGGUUUAUGUAUCUUGUCCCUUUGAUUUCUAAAUGAAUAAAUGAUUUAAACACACCAUUGUUGAGCGU